rnacentral:rRNA from 1 species
CCUACGGGAGGCUGCAGUGAGGAAUAUUGGUCAAUGGCCGAGAGGCUGAACCAGCCAAGUCGCGUGAGGGAUGACGGCCCUACGGGUUGUAAACCUCUUUUGUCGGGGAGCAAAGAGAGUCACGUGUGGCUCAUUGAGAGUACCCGAAGAAAAAGCAUCGGCUAACUCCGUGCCAGCAGCCGCGGUAAUACGGAGGAUGCGAGCGUUAUCCGGAUUUAUUGGGUUUAAAGGGUGCGCAGGCGGAGGUGCAAGUCAGUGGUCAAAUUGCGGGGCUCAACCCCGUACUGCCGUUGAAACUGCAUCCCUUGAGUGCAGAAGAGGAGAGUGGAACUCCAUGUGUAGCGGUGAAAUGCGUAGAUAUAUGGAAGAACACCAGUGGCGAAAGCGGCUCUCUGGUCUGUAACUGACGCUGAGGUUCGAAAGCGUGGGUAGCAAACAGGAUUAGAUACCCUGGUAGUC